UACGGAGGGUGCAAGCGUUAUCCGGAUUUACUGGGUUUAAAGGGUGCGUAGGUGGGUAGGUAAGUCAGUGGUGAAAUCUCCGGGCUUAACCCGGAAACUGCCAUUGAUACUAUUUAUCUUGAAUACUUUGGAGGUAAGCGGAAUAUGUCAUGUAGAGGUGAAAUGCUUAGAUAUGACAUAGAACACCAAUUGCGAAGGCAGCUCACUACGGGAUUAUUGACACUGAGGCACGAAAGCGUGGGGAGCAAACAGG
rnacentral:rRNA from 1 species